UUUACCCCGGGUACCAUCCCCGAAAUGGGGGGAAGUGCCCGGUGGGUUUCCCCAGGCUCUA
rnacentral:snoRNA from 1 species